GUGAAUUAUCCAUUUGUACCAUAGACAGUAGGGGUAGCUUAAUUGACUACUUAAUGAUCCUACCGAGGGCAAAGGAACUCAGACUCUUUAAUGAUGAUGAAUUUCCGCCCCUCUCUAUUUUAUUGACGAGGGGCUUUUCUUUUGUCGGU
rfam:Kurthia sp. 11kri321, complete genome.